rnacentral:misc_RNA from 1 species
GAAAUAGUAAGAACUUAAAAAUGCUUUCUCUCGUAAUAAUAAUGGCCAUUCAAUGUUAUCUAAAAAUGAAAGUCAUGCUAGAAUCAUUGCAUCCUAGAACAACAGUAGCACACGAACUAAAACUUGAUUUCCUUAACCAGGCAUUGAGGAUAGUUCACAGUUGAAGCUUUGGGUAUAUAUCCCAACAGUGAAUAGGAAAGGAUGAUCAUAUUACAAUUGGAUCAUCUGAAUGCCGAGACUGGUUCUCCAGACACAAAAUAAACCAACAUAGAGUAACAGCAGUCUCAUUGUUUUUUCAUGACUACACAGUUUCAUCUUUGGACAGAAGGAACUAGUUCUUGCCAUCGCCAAACAGGUAACCAAGGGAAGAUCCACCACCUGGUGCUGCAUGCACUUUGGUAGAUGGGCGAUCCGUGAGGAAAUUCCCAGUGUUCUGUCCAUCUGCACGGAAAUAGUUAUUGGAAUUGCGCCCCUGGAUGCCAGCUGGAAUCUGCUUAUUAACAUUUGGAGCUGGUGCAGUUGCAGUAGGCUUCUGUGGAUCGCUUGUAGUAGGUCCUUGAUUCUGUGGAGCUUCUACCUUGUUGUUAGUAGGCUUUGGAGGCUCACCAUCUCCAAAGAGGUAACCUAGGGAACUCUGUCCUCCACCACUGCUGACUCCACGACCCAUGAUCUCUCAAACUUUUAAUUGAUUGAUUCUGAGGAGUUCGGAUCAGAUCUGUUGAGAGAAAUUGAUCGAAGAGCAGUAGGGCUUUAUAGGUACAACUAACGGCACGCACAGCAACGGAAGGGAUAUGAAAAUAUCUGAAACACUAUUCGGU